CGUUCCCGGGUCUUGUACACACCGCCCGUCACACCACGAGAGUUUACAACACCCGAAGUCGGUGGGGUAACCGCAAGGAGCCAGCCGCCGAAGGUGGGGUAGAUGAUUGGGGUG
rnacentral:rRNA from 1 species